GGAGUUUAAGCAUGCAUGGGAUAGGCAUAAGGCUAUCCUAACCAUAAGAUAAGGCUAGGGACUAAUGAAAGUUUUUAGAAAAUUGGGCAGACUAGAUGGGCCGAAUGGUUCUUAUCUGCCGUCACAUUCUAUGUUUCUAUGUUUCUAUGUUUCUAUGUUUCUAUAUCAACUUUCGAUUCCAGUUUCUGCGCCUACCAUGGUGACUACGGGUAACGGUGAAUCAGGGUUCCAUUCCGUACAGGGACCCUGAGAAAUGGCUACCACAUGCAAGGAAGGCAGCAGGCGCGCAAAUGACCCACUCCCGACGCAGGAAGGUAGUGAC